rnacentral:lncRNA from 1 species
CUGCACCAUGCCCACCUCUGUGCCCAGAGCUGCAGCAUCAAGUCACCCAUGGGUGGAAAAUCACAGAGGUGGGGCCUGCCUGGUCCAGAGCCCAGAGAUGGAAACGGUAGGGAGAGAGGGCGCCUGACACUUCCUAGCCUCCAGCAAGCCUGGAGAGGGGCGCAAGGCGUCCUUCUGCAUGUGGUAAAAUGCUUGGACUGAGUCUUGGAUGAUUGUGCCUAGCUCUAUCCUGCGACCAGCAAGCACUUGCUUUUCUAGAGGGAAGGGAAAGAAAGAGAAGGAACAAAGACCUGAGCUCCUCAAAGCCACCAGCUAGCUCAGCCUUCACGGAUUCAGCUCGGUCCUCUUGGCAAACUCUGAGAUGCUCAAGGAGGUCUUUGGAAUACUUCCAACUCUGAACGCUCCCCUCCAGGGAGUCCCCACUGUUCAAAGCCCCCGAGGAAUCUGAGUCACCUGCCCGUAGGCCUGGCUCUUCUGGGGGAGUCUAGAUCUGGUGGCCAGUGGCUACGGAUGAGCAGUGCCCCGUGCCCAGGCCAGGUACCCCUGCUGUCAGCUCCUAUGGCCCCUUUCUGAGCUCUGCUCCAUCCCUGCCUAGCCUGACAGCAGUUAGCAUGGUGGCCUCCCGAAAACACCAGGGAGCUGGAUGGAAGUCACAGGUCCCAGGACUACGAGGCCACUGCGGGGCCGGGAGUGGUGGCUGGGCACAGAGGCCCACUAUCCAAUGUGACAGAGAAGAACAGGCCCAGUUGCAGCCUCAGAAGAUGACUCCUUAGACACAGCUACGCUGCCAGCGACAGGGCCUGCCCAGCCAGCCCAGGCGGUCUGAAUCAGAACUCAAGACCCUCGAGAGCUUCCACGGCCCACGUGGGGCAGGGCACUGCUUAAGGGGGACUCUGGCAGGUCCAGGGAGCCACAGACAUGAAGCAAACGGUUGCCCUGCCUUGGCCGGGGCUCUCUUCCCAGACCCACGGCCGGGAGUUUUGCAGAUAUCUGGCCCUUCAGCUCCACCAGGAGGCAAAUUAAGGGAACACGCGUGGAAGGAGCUGAACCAGCCACAUUCGAACACUGUCUCUGAGCGAGCCCAGUGCAGAUAGCUGGGGCUAUGGCGUGACUGGGAAAAGGAAAGGGUUUUCCCAGAGCUGUCCUCAAGGAGCUGGAGUCGCUUGGUGGAGUUUCAGCCUCUGGGUGCCCUGGCUUGCCCUUGGCGAGGUGGUCCUGGAAGUGAAGUGACCAGGACUGGGAAAUGGCAAAGAUCGAAGAGGGGAGGCAGAGACUGGAGAAGCUAAACCAAGCAACAGCCUGAGACUAAGUGCCAAGUGUGUAAAUACAUUCUGGCCAAA